CUUACAGCCUGUUCGAGGUCAGAGCCUGUUAGGUUUAAGACCCAUGAUGGGGUGUAGCUUGGAGCUUCCCAAAAGAUGUUGUGGCCUCUUGCAAUCAGCUUGUUGGAUCUCACAAAAUCUAGCAUUUUAUCUGGGAUACUGUAGUUUAGUUGCCCUGGUUUAGGUUCUGUUGCACUCCACUUUAGCUCAUUCUCAAAUACUGCUGCAUUGAAUCUCUCUACAAACCAUUUCUGCAUCAUUUUGCAUUCAUAGGAUUAGACAUCCAUUAAACCAAUUGUACGGGUAUGCUACCAGCUGGCUGGUAGCAUCGCCAAACUGUUAAGGAGGCACGUGACCAGUUAUUAUUAAUCCUUAACGGCAGUUAUUAUUCCCUACCAGCAUCUCUUACAAGCCGGUAGGGGGGAGGCACGUGACCAAACCAAGAGGUCAACGGGUCGCUAUCAAUCGGGUAGGACCCAUUUGUCCGUACGCCCGACCCGCGCCUAUAUAUAUGGGCUUCAUUUAUGACAAAAGGUACGAAGAAGAUCAUGGGAUGCCUUAGAGUGAGGAUGCAACCACCAAAUUCACGAUCGAUGUUUAGUAAAGAUAACUAUGUCAUUAGUAAUAAAGGGAUGUAUUAUUUAAAGUCUAAGUUUGAUUUCAUGAUUUGAGUUAGAUUUUAAUAUUAAUGUUUAAUCAGAUGUUAAAAGUGUUUAUUAUUAAAGUUUAUUUAGUAAUUUAAAAAGGUUAUGUCGCCUUGUAUUUCCCACGAGGGAAAUAGGCAUGUGACACUCCGACUAAAUUAGGGUUUCCGCUGCUAAUUAAAGAUAAUUAACCUAAUUUAUGGUGUUUAGAAGACGGGGCGUUGCAGUUUGGUAUUCAGAGCCAAGGUUCUGGAUCAUAAGUGCUAAACCUUACAGGUUUUGCACGUAAUAGAAUUCAAUAGGCUUUAAGCAAAGAGUUUUAAGGAAUAAGUUAAAAAGAAUAUGUUAAAUUCAAGUCAAGCUAAAAUGGAAUGAGUGUGAGUGUAGGAACGGGUUUAAAGGGAUUUAUUUUUCUGUUAUUUAUGUUUUCUUGAUUGAAUAUGUUAUGCGAAAUAUCGACUAUCGAGGUUACUAACGAUGCCAUGAACGAAGCUCACAACAAGCGCAAACAUUCACGAUGGCGCCAACAUUGGUAUUAUUUUAUUUUAUCUCUCUCGCUUUGGAUCCGAACUUCCCAUGUUUUCAUGUUUAUCAUGUUAUGAAUUUCCUACCCUAGACAGACUAGGCAAAGUUUAAGCAUUACUGUUUUUCUUGAAAGAAGUUAAGUUAAAGCACGGUGCGAACACAAAGAUUUUGUGGAUAUGAAUUGUUAUGUUUAUGGAAUCUUUAAGGAUAGUAUAAAUGUUUAAGUAUCAAACGAGCAUAAGGUUGUAUUUCACGAGUGGUGGAUCACUAAUUAAGUUAAGGUUAUUAUAGGUUUAUAGUGUUUAAAUUAUGAAUGAAAUUGAUUCUAGGGUUACCUUCCCGUGUUAUCCAUGAUAAAUAUUUUGGGUAUAAGUACAAAAGUCUAGUAUCUAAAAGAUGAUUGAUAUGCCUCUAUUAAGGAAGCUAAGAAGUUAUACAUAAACGUUAUGAACCACAUGAGUUAGGGUAGAAGACCUGUUUUAGUUGACAUAUGAAUAAGAUUUUGAGGAUGUUAUGAAAAGGAGUUAUCAGGAAUUAGUAUAUCAAAAGAUUGAAUGAUAGAGUAUCGAAAGAGCAUGAGUUUGUAUUUCGUAAGUGGCAAAUCAACAAUUAAAUCGAGGUUUAAAGCAUUGAAGUUAUGAUUGAAAUCAAUUCUUAGAUUACCAUUCCGCAUAAUUUAUAAGGAUUGUUUUUUAUGUAUUUAUCUGAAAGGAUGCUUGAUAAUCUCCAUAAAGAAAGCUAAGUGAGAUAAUUUAAGGUUUGCAAAAUGUUAUGGGAAAACAUGUUUUGGUGGUGAUCGAAAAGACGAAAUUGAGUUUGCGUAUAAAGCUUUGAGGAUUCUACCAAAAUGAGUUAUCAAGAAUUAGUCUGUGUAUCAGGUUGAUGAUAUCAAUGAAUGUUAUGAAAUUAGAAAUGAGUUAUGAAUGAUUGAGGAAUGCAAUGAAAUUGAGAAUAGAAAAUCGACAAAAUGACAUGUCUAUAAAACCAGGUAGUCUGAACUAAGUUUUCUUGAAGAUAGAUUGUUUCUGAUAAAGGCACAUUUGAUGACUUAGCAUUAUCCGCGAAAUACGAGGGUUGUCUACCUGAAAUACUAAGAAUAAGUAACGACCGAAGUCGUAUGUCCAACGAUGUAUUUUCUAUCACGUGAUUGACUCGAACCCCUGCAACGAACGUAGUCAACGAAGUUAUUCAACGUAGAAGAAAAGAGCGCAGAUCGAAAUCAAAACGAAUCGAAUAAAGAAAGUCAACGAAAAGAUUCCUGCAGCAAGGAAGCUCAAGAACAAACGAAAACGCAAUAUCUCCAAAUAGUCGCCUAAGAAUGAUAUAAUGUACGAAUCACGAUGUUUUAUGUAAACGUGUUAUGAAUCAACCAUGCUCGUGUGUUAGAUCAAAUGAUUAUGAUAUGAAUGUUAUGCUUACGUUGGAUGUGAAAUUUUCAAUUAUGUCUUUAUGAUAUGCUUUGUGGAAUAUGUUUAUGCUGGUAUGAUUGUAUUGGUAAUCUAAUCGUCAUACAAGGAAGCCGUCUUCGAUGGAAGUUUUCCUGAGCUCAGAGUACGAGAUUGUUAUAAUAAAUAAUUUUUACAAAUUACUUGGCUAUUAAAAUUGUUAGAUAAAUAUUUAUUUUCAUUAUAUAUCUUCAAAAUUAUAAUUUUGCAUUAAAAAUUACUAUUUUUGGUGGAAAAUAUUUUCAAACGGGAUCUCACAAAGAAAAAUGGGAGCCUAGUCUACGCUAACAAGUUUGCCCUUUUUUUUUUUUUAUGUUCUUUGCUCCUCGAUCCUAUUUUAUGAAGUAAAGUAGAGAUACAAAAGACGAUGGCGGAAUAUAAUUGACCUUAAUGACGAUUAAGAUCAACAUAUAAUUUUGCCCCUUUUGUAUUCUUUACUCUUCGAUUCUAGGUCUCGAGUUGAAGCGGAGUCAUUAAAAAAGAUGGUGGAAUGAAAGCUAGACAUUGUCGGAAUUGGAAUGAAAUCCUGAGAUCUUGGUUUUAAAAUAAAAUAUCGUACUUUUAUUCAAAUAUAUUCGACUUUCAACAAUCAAUUCAAGUUUCGAGGACGAAACUUUUUCUAAGGGGGUAAGAAUGUAAUACCCCGAAAUUUUUAAACUCGAUUUAUUAAAAUUAAUAAUAUUUUAUUAACGUAAUUUCGUUUUAAUUAUUAGAAAUAAUUUAAAAAUUUCGUUAUUUUAAACGAUUUUACGAUUUAUUUUAAACGAUAAAUUUAUAAACGAAAAUUUAUUUAUUUUUCGUUAACGAUAUAUUUUACGAGACUUUGUUUUAAUUAAACAUUUCUAUUUUUAGUAAUUUCCAAAAAUAGAAACAGAAUUUCUGAAUUUUAGCCAACCAUGUGAAAUUACGAAAAUGCCCUUGGAGCACCAAGAUUCCAUUUCCCUUUCUUCUCUUCCUUGCUCCCCACGUACAAAGUAAGGAGGAAAUUUCCUUCCUUCCUUCUUUCCUCAUUUCAGUCUCCAUUCAAAACAAAAAUCAAGUUUGCUUCUUCCACUUCAAUCCUUUACAAAUUCAACAAUUUCAGAAUUUCCAUUUGCAAAAACAAGAGACCAAUUCCACUUCUUUUUCUCUCUUCUCUGAUUCAAGCAAUCAAUCACCACCAUCACUGAAACCACCGUGACAACCACCGUCCACCACCACCAUUAUCUGCUGCCCAGCACCACCAUCUCAACCAUGCACCAACCACCAACGCCACCUUGUAGCAACCACAAACACCCCCGCAUUCCCUGCUUCCCCUCCCCUGUUCGUACUCCCUCUCCCUUUCCCUUACUGUUCCGCCACCGCAAGACCAACCACCAUCAAUCACCGCCGCCUCCCUACCAUCAUUGCUCACCCCACCUACCUUCAUCGCCGGUAAGAACCCGACCCAAAUACCCCACUCAAACUCCCCUGCUUCCCAGUUUUCGCACCCCACCUCUGCCUUGCACUCCUCUUCUCUCCGCCGCAGGCACCGCCGUGCCACCACGCUCCACCUCCCUUCUUGUUUGCGCAGCCACCGCACCCCUUGAACCACCUAAGCCACCUCACAAAAGUCCCCUGCCCUCCUCUUCUUUUCGCACAAACCUCCCCCUUCCUUGCUGUUUCGCCGCCGCGAAACCACACCAGCACCACCGUCUCUCCGGCGCGUCCCUGCUGCGCCGCCGACCACCAUCUUCCCUCUCCUUCCUCCUCGUGCUUCCCUCCUCCUUCGUGCGCUUCCCUUCCCUGUUCGUGCCCUGUUUCGCACCCCCCCUUCCCUCUUUGGUCGACUUUCAGAAAAACCAAAAACCAAAUGCCUGAUCUUGUUUGCUUGCUUUAAUAAACCCAAAUCAAAGCUAGCCCAAUUCUAAACUCUUGGGCUUUUGGUAAGGCAAUUAUAAAUUUUCAGAUUUCAAUUAAUCAAUAUUUAUAUUAUAAUAAAUUUGUACUAUAUAAUUCUUUACUAAUAAAAUUACUUAUUGUUUUUCAGGUUUAAUUAUUGAUUAGAAAAAAAAUAAUAAAUUUACUAGCUUUAUAAAUCAAAAAUGGAAUUUAAAUAAUAUUUUUUUUAUGUAAAUCAAUUUAUGAAAUAUAUAUAUAUAUUUCGAUUCACUACUACAAAAUGCGUGUAAUGUCGACGCGGUAGCCUCGACGCCAAGGGCUGAGCGUUAGAGCUAAUUUUUGGCCGCGUGGGUUUUCGACGCCUUUCCUUGUCUAAAACAUUUGUAGACCUGAUAAGGCGUCGAGAUAUUAGUUUAACCGCAGAUGACCCGCACGUGAUUCGCCAAUGUCACCGCUUCAUAUUUCUAAGAAAAGUAAACCGCCCCACUUCUCUCACACAUUCACCCUAACUCCGACGAUGAACUCCUUCACUCCAUCUGCAUUUUGCUGGAAAAAUUCCUCAUUUCUUCCAGAUCCACUCUCAAAUGUUAAUGGAGGUGCAGGUCGAAGUUGUAGGAUGAUUCUGUUAUAUUUUUUGAGAGAAUAUCACGUGAGGAAUCAGAAAAAGUUGAGGCGAUUAGCUUCGAGAAGAGUAGUGAUAUGACGCCCUGUCAACUCAUCGCUCGAUGCUUAUGGUUUUUGUUGUUGCUCAAUACCAUGAGAUGAAUGCUAAGACAGCAGCAGAACACUAAAAACAGAAGAAAACAGCAGCACAUGCACUUCUGAAUUCUGAUAUGUUCAAAUUGGUUCUUCUGAUAGACUAACCAUCUUUCUAAGCAAGCCCCCAAGCUUUCCCAUGUCUACCAUCCUGCAAAAACAAACCCCAAAUACCUCAGUAAUCAAAACAGAAAAACACGACGACAAAAAACAUAAAUAAGACAUGCAAUUCAGGUCUAUAUUACUACACAAUAAAGUGAAUUUCAGGCCUCAUCCAAAUGAAUGCUCUGGAAGUGAUUGGUAGGUUAUUCCUGGUGAAAACUCCAUAACCCACAUGCGAAUUCAGGAUUAUUAAAAGAUUUUGGAAGUUGAAGACGAUGCAACAGACGGGAUAUAAGAUUAAGUUAUCGAAAGCUCGCUUUGAAAUGGCAUCCGGAUAAACGCAAGGACGAUAGUGUUGUUGUAGACUUGCAGCCAAAUUUCAAAAUAUUAAUGAAGCUUAUAGAGAGAAAUGUGAAAGAUAGCCAUGAAGAUUCUUUUAUAAGAGAAGAGGAUCAUCGGCCAAUCAGCCCCACUGUUUACUCUGCAGAAAUUCAAAUCAGCUGAAAAGAUAAGACAAUUGCAGACAUCGUCUUCAAGGUGAUACGAGUAGGAUUUCUGCUAGAUCUGAGAAUCGUGUUUUAAGCACCAAGCCAAAUCCUCUGCUUGCUGAAAAUUAUCAUUCACCCUCUCUGGUGCCGAACACGUAUGAAAAGCUUGUACGAACCGAAAUGCAUAACUUACAUGCAUAAAGCUGAGGUUGCUAGAGAGGAGACAGAGUUGGGAUUCUAUAUUGAUUUGACGCCCUGUUGUUAUCCAUUGAUUGUAUUCUUUGUUAGAUAAUUUUUUGCAAAGUAUUAGGUUUUAUAUUUGAGGGAGUUUUGAUGUAAGCAUACCCAUGUAACUGAUAUUUUUUUUAUUCAUAUUUUUUGAAAUAUAACAAGUUAACGUGAAAA